UACGUAGGUGGCAAGCGUUGUCCGGAAUUAUUGGGCGUAAAGCGCGCGCAGGCGGUCUUUUAAGUCUGAUGUGAAAGCCCACGGCUCAACCGUGGAGGGUCAUUGGAAACUGGGGGACUUGAGUACAGAAGAGAAGAGUGGAAUUCCACGUGUAGCGGUGAAAUGCGUAGAGAUGUGGAGGAACACCAGUGGCGAAGGCGACUCUUUGGUCUGUAACUGACGCUGAGGCGCGAAAGCGUGGGGAGCAAACAGG
rnacentral:rRNA from 1 species